AAUGAACGUUGGCGGCGUGGCUUAGGCAUGCAAGUCGAGCGAGAACCCCGCAAGGGGGGUCAGCGGCGGAAGGGACCGUAAUGUGUAGAUUAUCUGCCCUCAGGUCCGUGAUAGCUGCGGGAAACUGCAGGUAAUACCGGAUAACAUCUCCGGAUCAAAGGUGUGAUUCCGCCUGAGGAUGAGUCUGCAUCCUAUUAGCUAGUUGGUGGGGUAAUGGCCUACAUAGGCAUUGAUGGGUAGCAGGUGUGAGCGGACGACCUGCCUCAUUGGGACUGAGACACUGCCGAGACACCUACGGGGCACUGCAGGCGAGACUCUUCGGCAAUGCGCGCAAGUGUGGCCGAGCGGCGCCGCGUGUGAGAUGAAGGCCUUCGGGUUGUAAAUCACUGUCAGGGGGGAAGAAAUGCAGGUGGUUACUCCCAUCUGUUUGACAUAGCCUCAGAAGAAGGACGGGCUAAGUUCGUU
rnacentral:rRNA from 1 species